GGCGGGGGAAGAGGAGGACGGGGGCGCCCUAUGGGGGCCAGGGGCGGAGCAGGGAGCAAUUGUGACUGGUCGAGGAGCACGCCAGCCAGGCCUGCACUGGGCCCAUCUCCUGCCUCCGCCUCCCGUUCACCCCAACCACCACGCACUCACCCCCACCGAGGAUGGCUACGAGAGCGACGGCUCCUUCCCGCACCACCACCACCACCACCACCGCGACGACGCCGACGCCGACGCCGACGCCGACGCCGACGACGCCGACGACGCCGACGACGACCGCCCACCGCCCACCGCCCCGGCGUUUCCGCCGGCCCCUCG